UACGUAGGUGGCAAGCGUUGUCCGGAUUUACUGGGCGUAAAGAGCGCGCAGGCGGUCGUUCAAGUCGCGUGUGAAAGCCCCCGGCGCAACUGGGGAGGGUCACGCGAUACUGAUCGACUCGAAGGCAGGAGAGGGUAGUGGAAUUCCCGGUGUAGUGGUGAAAUGCGUAGAUAUCGGGAGGAACACCAGUGGCGAAGGCGACUACCUGGCCUGUUCUUGACGCUGAGGCGCGAAAGCUAGGGGAGCAAACGGG
rnacentral:rRNA from 1 species